rnacentral:rRNA from 1 species
GGACUACUGGGGUAUCUAAUCCUGUUUGCUCCCCAUGCUUUCGCGCCUCAGCGUCAGUUUCAGCCCAGUAAACCGUCUUCACCACCGGUGUUCUUCCACAUAUCUACGCAUUUCACCGCUACACGUGGAAUUCCGUUUACCCUAACUGUACUCUAGCCAUAUAGUUUCAAAUGCAGCUCCGGGGUUGAGCCCCGGAAUUUCACGUCUGACUUAUACGGCCGCCUACGCGCCCUUUACGCCCAGUAAUUCCGAUCAAUGCUUGCACCCUCCGUAUUACCGCGGCUGCUGGCAC